GGGUUGUGGCUCAGUGGUAGAGUGCUCGCCUAGCACGCACGAGAUGCUGGGUUCGAUCCUCAGCUCCA
rnacentral:tRNA from 1 species